rnacentral:rRNA from 1 species
UGAGGAAUAUUGGUCAAUGGGCGAGAGCCUGAACCAGCCAAGUAGCGUGCAGGAAGACGGCCCUAUGGGUUGUAAACUGCUUUUAUGUGGGGAUAAAGUGCGUGACGUGUCAUGCAUUGCAGGUACCACAUGAAUAAGGACCGGCUAAUUCCGUGCCAGCAGCCGCGGUAAUACGGAAGGUCCGGGCGUUAUCCGGAUUUAUUGGGUUUAAAGGGAGCGUAGGCUGUCUAUUAAGCGUGUUGUGAAAUAUACCGGCUCAACCGGUGGUUUGCAGCGCGAACUGGUCGACUUGAGUAUGCAGGAAGUAGGCGGAAUUCAUGGUGUAGCGGUGAAAUGCUUAGAUAUCAUGACGAACUCCGAUUGCGAAGGCAGCUUACGGGAGCGCAACUGACGCUAAAGCUCGAAGGUGCGGGUAUCGAACAGG